UAAGGAGGAUGCAAGCGUUAUCCGGAAUUAUUGGGCGUAAAGCGUCCGCAGGUGGUACAUCAAGUCUGCUGUCAAAGACCGGAGCUCAACUCCGGGCAGGCAGUGGAAACUGGUGAACUAGAGUACGGUAGGGGUAGAGGGAAUUCCCAGUGUAGCGGUGAAAUGCGUAGAGAUUGGGAAGAACACCAGUGGCGAAGGCGCUCUACUGGGCCGUAACUGACACUCAGGGACGAAAGCUAGGGGAGCGAAAGGG
rnacentral:rRNA from 1 species